GGGCGUAAAGAGCUCGUAGGCGGUUUGUCACGUCUGCUGUGAAAGCCCGGGGCUCAACCCCGGGUCUGCAGUGGGUGCGGGCAGACUAGAGUGAUGUAGGGGAGACUGGAAUUCCUGGUGUAGCGGUGAAAUGCGCAGAUAUCAGGAGGAACACCGAUGGCGAAGGCAGGUCUCUGGGCAUUAACUGACGCUGAGGAGCGAAAGCAUGGGGAGCCAACAGGAUUAGAUACCCUGGUAGUCCAUGCCGUAAACGUUGGGCACUAGGUGUGGGGGACAUUCCACGUUUUCCGCGCCGUAGCUAACGCAUUAAGUGCCCCGCCUGGGGAGUACGGCCGCAAGGCUAAAACUCAAAGGAAUUGACGGGGGCCCGCACAAGCGGCGGAGCAUGCGGAUUAAUUCGAUGCAACGCGAAGAACCUUACCAAGGCUUGACAUGAACCGGAAAGGCCUGGAAACAGGUCCCCCACUUGUGGCCGGUUUACAGGUGAUUAAUUCGAUGCAACGCGAAGAACCUUACCUGGGUUUGACAUACACCGGAAAACCGUAGAGAUACGGUCCCCCUUGUGGUCGGUGUACAGGUGGUGCAUGGUUGUCGUCAGCUCGUGUCGUGAGAUGUUGGGUUAAGUCCCGCAACGAGCGCAACCCUCGUUCUAUGUUGCCAGCGGGUUAUGCCGGGGACUCAUAGGAGACUGCCGGGGUCAACUCGGAGGAAGGUGGGGAC
rnacentral:rRNA from 1 species